rnacentral:rRNA from 1 species
UCAGGUAGGACUACCCGCUGAACUUAAGCAUAUCAAU